AGGAUAAACGCUGGCGGCGUGCCUAACACAUGCAAGUCGAACGUCCUACGCAAGUAGGGAGUGGCGGACGGGUGAGUAACACGUGGGCAAUCUACCUUUCGGUGAGGAAUACCGGCGAGAAAUCGCCGACAAUACCGCAUACGCUUCGCAAGAAGCAAAGUCGCAAGACGCCGGAGGAGGAGCCUGCGCCCGAUUAGCUGGUUGGUGAGGUAAGAGCUCACCAAGGCGACGAUCGGUAGCUGGUCUGAGAGGAUGAUCAGCCACACUGGGACUGAGACACGGCCCAGACUCCUACGGGAGGCAGCAGUGGGGAAUAUUGGACAAUGGGCGCAAGCCUGAUCCAGCAAUGCCGCGUGAGUGAAGAAGGUCUUAGGAUUGUAAAGCUCUUUCGGUGGGGACGAUGAUGACGGUACCCGCAGAAGAAGCCCCGGCUAACUUCGUGCCAGCAGCCGC
rnacentral:rRNA from 1 species